rnacentral:rRNA from 1 species
GAUGAACGCUGGCGGCGUGCCUAAUACAUGCAAGUCGAGCGAACGGACGAGAAGCUUGCUUCUCUGAUGUUAGCGGCGGACGGGUGAGUAACACGUGGAUAACCUACCUAUAAGACUGGGAUAACUUCGGGAAACCGGAGCUAAUACCGGAUAAUAUUUUGAACCGCAUGAUUCAAAAGUGAAAGACGGUCUUGCUGUCACUUAUAGAUGGAUCCGCGCUGCAUUAGCUAGUUGGUAAGGUAACGGCUUACCAAGGCAACGAUGCAUAGCCGACCUGAGAGGGUGAUCGGCCACACUGGAACUGAGACACGGUCCAGACUCCUACGGGAGGCAGCAGUAGGGAAUCUUCCGCAAUGGGCGAAAGCCUGACGGAGCAACGCCGCGUGAGUGAUGAAGGUCUUCGGAUCGUAAAACUCUGUUAUUAGGGAAGAACAUAUGUGUAAGUAACUGUGCACAUCUUGACGGUACCCAAUCAGAAAGCCACGGCUAACUACGUG